UGCGUAGGGGGCAAGCGUUAUCCGGAUUCACUGGGUGUAAAGGGAGCGUAGACGGCCAUGCAAGCCUGGAGUGAAAGCCCGGGGCCCAACCCCGGGACUGCUCUGGGAACUGUGCGGCUGGAGUGCGGGAGGGGCAGGCGGAAUUCCUGGUGUAGCGGUGAAAUGCGUAGAUAUCAGGAGGAACACCGGCGGCGAAGGCGGCCUGCUGGACCGCGACUGACGUUGAGGCUCGAAAGCGUGGGGAGCAAACAGG
rnacentral:rRNA from 1 species